UACGUAGGGUGCAAGCGUUGUCCGGAUUUAUUGGGCGUAAAGAGCUCGUAGGCGGUUUAACAAGUUGGGUGUGAAAACUCCAGGCUCAACCUGGAGAUGCCACCCAAGACUGCUAUGACUUGAGUCUGGUAGGGGAGCACGGAAUUCCUGGUGUAGCGGUGAAAUGCGCAGAUAUCAGGAGGAACACCGGUGGCGAAGGCGGGUCUCUGGGCCGAUACUGACGCUGAGGAGCGAAAGCGUGGGGAGCGAACAGG
rnacentral:rRNA from 1 species